rnacentral:lncRNA from 1 species
CGCUUGUGUGUACAUGUCUCCCUUCUUGUGGUCGUCUGUUUAUGCUGUUGCCCACAUGUUUCAAGAUGAAUCAACUUGCCCAAAAAGAAGUAUCGAUGAACAGUCGUUACACAUA